rnacentral:rRNA from 1 species
GACAGAGGUGCCGAGAGUUAGGCGGAAUCACUGGGCUUAAAGCGUGUGUAGGCGGAUGCCUAAGUACCUUGUGAAAUCCCACGGCUUAACCGUGGAACUGCUUGGUAUACUGGGUGUCUUGAGCCACUUAGGGGCGACCGGAACAAACGGUGGAGCGGUGAAAUGCGCAGAUAUCGGGAAGAACACCCGUGGCGAAGGCGGUUCUCUGGGACGGUACUGACGCUGAGACGCGAAAGCGUGGGGAGCGAACAGG